GGGGAUGUGGCGGAAUUGGUAGACGCAACGGACUUAAAAUCCGUUGAUUUUUAAAAUCGUGAGGGUUCAAGUCCCUUCGUCCCCA
rnacentral:tRNA from 1 species